rnacentral:lncRNA from 1 species
CGGAACACGAAGUAUAAUCAGAUGCCUAUAUAGCCCCAUUUGGAACAUAAUUCUUAUAAUUAAACUAAAAUUUAUAAGGAUAUAUAGAGGCAUAUCCUUUAACACAAAAGAUACAAUAAACAAUUACAUUACAGUGCAUCAUGAUUGUUUCGGAUCUUUAUUGAGCAAAUAUCACAUUAUUAUUUAAAAUCAACGAACUUCUCUGUCAAAACUCAAAUAAUAAAUGAUAGAAUCUUUAAAGCAAAUUAGAUGUCAUAUCUUACAAGUUCAUUACUGAAAGUAAAGUUUGCUUGUUUCACUUAAGAAAUAAUAAAUAGAUAAUGCAACAAAGGAAACUCUAUCAGUAAACUAUAAUCAUAACGUUUACUAGAUUACAAGCACAUUCAUUUUAUUUACUGCAUAUGGACUAACACAAAUCUAGUAAUUAGGACGUAAUUACAAUUAAAACAAACCUUGAAUUUCACACAAGCUUUAUAGCAUUAGUACUUGUUAAAAAUGC